GCCACUGAAUUGUUCACUUUAAAAUAGUUAAUUUUAUGUCAUGUCAAUUUCACUUCAAUAAAUUAUUAUUUUUUUAAAUAGAAGAAUAAGUAUAGUGUCUGCCCAGAGAUCUUCCAUUUGCCCCUCCAGAUCCACCCUCCUUCUGUUUUUACCCUCUCCAUCCCUGGAAGGCUGACCAGCAAGGAUCACAUCACAGAAUUCCAUGCCCUCUGGCUUCCAGCUGCUUUGGACCCUGGGCAGCCCCUGCAGAUUUGGAGGGAGAUGGGAGAUGUGUUCCUGACUUCCUCCCCGAGCAGUCUUCUUGAGCUGGCUGGUCCCUCCACAAAAGAUGAUAAUAAUUAACUUCCCCAUGUGACAGAGGAAAUGAGCAUUGAUGAUUCAGUAGAGAUGCCCAUUGAAAGGGAACUGGAACUGUGAAAUAUGACAGGGCUCCUCACACUAAGUCCACAUGGAAAAUCAAUUUUGUUUAAUGCUCUCUUACUUGCCCACUCCAAAGAACUCUAGUGCAUUCAUCCUGAGCUGCCGGAGGGAAAGGCUCACCUGGCAAGGAGCUGAGGGCAGCCUACAGCUGACAGCAAUCCAGAAACUGAGGCCUUCAGCCCACAAGGAACUUCCUCUUUCCACAACUGCUGGGAAGUUGAUCCUGCCCCAGCUGAGCUUUGGAAUGGCAGCAGCCCAGAUGCUACCUCGAUUGCACCCAGGAGAGACCUGGAUGCAGAGGAUCCAGCUAAUCUGGGCCAGAUUCGGAUCCACAGAAACUGGUUGAUAAAAACUUGUUUUUCAAACCCCUACACUUUGGAGUCAUUUGCUUCAUGGCAAAAGAUAAUUAAUAUAUUUUCUUUU